rnacentral:lncRNA from 1 species
AGUGAGUUCUUACUCUGAGUUCACAUAAGAUCUGGUUAUUUAAAAGACUGGCAUCUCCUCUCUCUCUUUCUCUCUCUCUCUCACUCCAUCUCUCACCAUGUGAUAUGCUAGCUCCCACCAAAUAAACCCUUUUCUUUAUAAAUUAUCCAGUCUCAGGUAUUUCUUUAUAGCAAUACAAGAAUGGACUAAUGCAAUGGAUAUUUUACUACUUUUGUAUUCUUUUACUUCGUUGCCACCGUUCACUAUUCUUCCUAUAUCUAUUUCCAUCUCACCCUGGUGACUUUUCCUUUAGGCUUGCCCUCUUUUAGUAGCCUUGUGCUCCUGUUUCAUAACAAUCCCAUCUUCUUGCAUGCACUCUUGUUUUUAUAGGCCUCAUUGAUGCC